rnacentral:lncRNA from 1 species
GGCGGGCUCUCCUCACACGAGCGCUUCCUCGCCGAGAGGCUGGAGCUGCGGCAACGCAGGCCUGGGCCGCCGUGUCUCCGCCGCCCGCUUCAGUUUUCCUCAGGGCUCUGGGGGUCGCUCGUCCGCCAAUGCGCCUCAGGAAUUUAACAAGAAACUGAAGUUUCAAAGAUUCAAAUAUUUUUUGAAUUGAAGCCAGAAAUGUACUAAGAUUUUGAUUCUUUCAUUUGAUUAAGGUAUGGUCUGAAUAUGCGUUGUUUGGCAGCUCGGGUCAACUAUAAGACUUUGAUUAUCAUCUGUGCGUUAUUCACUUUGGUCACAGUACUUUUGUGGAAUAAGUGUUCCAGCGACAAAGCAAUCCAGUUUCCUCGGCACUUGAGUAGUGGAUUCAGAGUGG